rnacentral:antisense_RNA from 1 species
CUUCAACGACCCCAGCCACAGCGGCCGAUCCCGGUCCCGCCCAUACGCCGCGAUCAACGCCUGCGCCUC